rnacentral:rRNA from 1 species
AGUGAACGCUGGCGGUAGGCCUAACACAUGCAAGUCGAACGGCAGCACAGUAAGAGCUUGCUCUUACGGGUGGCGAGUGGCGGACGGGUGAGGAAUACAUCGGAAUCUACUUUUUCGUGGGGGAUAACGUAGGGAAACUUACGCUAAUACCGCAUACGGCCUACGGGUGAAAGCAGGGGAUCUUCGGACCUUGCGCGAUUGAAUGAGCCGAUGUCGGAUUAGCUAGUUGGCGGGGUAAAGGCCCACCAAGGCGACGAUCCGUAGCUGGUCUGAGAGGAUGAUCAGCCACACUGGAAGUGAGACACGGACCAGACUCCUACGGGAGGCCGCAGUGGGGAAUAUUGGACAAUGGGCGCAAGCCUGAUCCAGCCAUACCGCGUGGGUGAAGAAGGCCUUCGGGUUGUAAAGACCUUUUGUUGGGAAAGAAAAGCAGCAGGUUAAUACCCCGCUGUUCUGACGGUACCCAAAGAAUAAGCACCGGCUAACUUCGUG